rnacentral:lncRNA from 1 species
CUUUACCCUCUUCAUACAAGUCUUUCAGGGAAACCCUGAUUUAUGGCAGAGACAAACUCUUGUUCGAAGAUGUGAAGGGUCAUUUGUUGAGUAGAGACAAACUCGACAAUGAGUUUGGUUUGAAUAGCAAAGCAGAUAGGUAAGCUUCCGUUUUGGUAGCAUCAAAGAAACGAGACAAAAGGUGUCGCUAUUGUAAAAAGUUAGGUCACGUCAAAGCAGAUUGUUAUAAACUGCGAAAUAAAAAAGCUGCUGAGAGUAACGAGGAAGAUGUAGCUGGUGCUAAUUU